GAUGAACGCUAGCUACAGGCUUAACACAUGCAAGUCGAGGGACAGGCGCACGGGUGAGUAACACGUAUCCAACCUGCCCUUUACUCGGGGAUAGCCUGUCGAAAGAAAGAUUAAUACCCGAUAUAAAGGAUGGGGAUGCGUUCCAUUAGGUUGUUGGUGAGGUAACGGCCCACCAAGCCUUCGAUGGAUAGGGGUCCUUGGAGGAAGUUCCCCCACAUUGGAACUGGGACCCGGUCCAAACUCGUACGGGAGGCAGCAGUGAGGAAUAUUGGUCAAUGGGCUCUAGCCUGAUCCAGCCAAGUAGCGUGAAGGAUGAAGGCUUAUGGGUCGUAAACUUCUUUUAUAUAAGAAUAUGUAUUAUAUGAAUAAGGAUCGGCUAACUCCGUGCCAGCAGCCGCGGUAAUUC
rnacentral:rRNA from 1 species